rnacentral:rRNA from 1 species
UAUGUGAUCGUCUCUCGCAUAUCAAUAAGCGGAGGAAAAGAAACUAACAAGGAUUCCCCUAGUAACGGCGAGUGAAGCGGGAAGAGCUCAAAUUUGAAAUCUUAAAGGGUUUCCCUUUACGAAUUGUAGUUUAAAGAAGUGUUUUCUGUUGAGGUUUUGGUAAAAGUUCUUUGGAAUAGGACAUCAUAGAGGGUGAGAAUCCCGUAUUUGACCUUUACUUUCAACUUUGUGAUACACUUUCAAAGAGUCGGAUUGUUUGGGAAUGCAGUCCAAAAUGGGUAGUAAAUUUCAUCUAAAGCUAAAUAUUGGCGAGAGACCGAUAGCGAACAAGUACCGUGAGGGAAAGAUGAAAAGAACUUUGAAAAGAGAGUUAAACAGUAUGUGAAAUUGUCAAAAGGGAAGCGUUUGACACCAGUGUUGUUUUUCUGAAAAUCAAUUAAAGAACUGUUUAUGCUAAGUUGUUUAGACUUUAUCAGCUAUCUGCUUAGUUUUGAGCUUUUCUUUAAUGCACUUUUCAGUUAACAAGUCAACAUCAAUUUCUUUUGCUGUAAAAAAGCUUGAGGAAGGUGGCUUGAGAUUCGUCUUAAGUGUUUAUAGCCUCUUGCCUAUGCAGUCGGAGAGAUUGAGGUCUGCAGCGUAGAUCCUUCGGGGCUAAAUGCAUUUGUGCUAAGUUAUAGCAUUUUAUAGACAACUUGUUGACUAUGAUUUGUCUUGUAGCUUACUCGCUUAUGUUAUUUUACCUACGCUUAGGAUGUUGAAGUCAUCGUAUCGCGC